UACAGAGGGUGCGAGCGUUGUUCGGAAUUAUUGGGCGUAAAGGGCGCGUAGGCGGUGCGGUAAGUCACCUGUGAAAUCUCCUGGCUCAACUGGGAGUCUGCAGGCGAAACUGCCGUGCUGGAGUGUGGGAGAGGUGAGUGGAAUUCCCGGUGUAGCGGUGAAAUGCGUAGAUAUCGGGAGGAGCACCUGUGGCGAAAGCGGCUCACUGGACCACAACUGACGCUGAGGCGCGAAAGCUAGGGGAGCAAACAGG
rnacentral:rRNA from 1 species